GAGGCGCUUCCGGCGCGUGGAAUGAGCGAGGGGGCGUGCCGGGGUCACUGGGGGGUUCGGUGCCUGCGGGCGGGCAGCGUGAAAGAGAACGCGGAAAGAACGGCGAGGGGAGCGGCGGCGGGCUGCGAUGGGGCUCUGAGGGGGUGAAUCCAGCCCCGGCGCUAUGGCUCUCACCGGCAGGACGGUCUCGUGGUGGGUCCGGCUGCGCCGGCCCUGCCCUUUGUCCGGCCCUUGGGGCCCUCCGGUCCGGCUGCCCACGGAGCUUGAGGCCUGCCAGCGGUUCUACAGCUCCCGCGACAAGGAAAAAAUAGAUAUGUCAGCAUAUCCUGUUGAAAGCAUAAGAAACUUCAGUAUUAUAGCUCAUGUAGAUCAUGGCAAAAGCACACUAGCAGACAGAUUGCUGGAAAUUACAGGAACAAUUGCUAAAACUGACCGUAACAAACAAGUGCUGGAUAAACUGCAAGUGGAACGUGAAAGGGGAAUUACAGUUAAAGCACAGUCUGCAUCGCUCUUUUACAAUUACAAAGGAGUAAACUACCUCUUAAAUCUUAUUGACACACCGGGCCACGUAGAUUUCAACUAUGAAGUUUCACGGUCACUCUCUGCCUGCCAAGGUGUCCUACUUGUAGUAGAUGCAAAUGAGGGUAUUCAGGCUCAGACAGUGGCAAACUUCUAUCUUGCUUUUGAAGCACAACUUGCAAUAAUUCCUGUUGUAAACAAGAUUGACUUAAAGAAUGCAGACCCUGAAAGAGUUGAAAAACAAAUUGAGAAGCUGUUUGACAUCCCUGUUAAUGAAUGUAUAAGGAUUUCUGCUAAACAAGGGACAAAUAUUGAAAAAGUUCUUGAAAAGGUCAUUGAAAAGAUUCCACCACCUCAAUUUAAUACUACUGAUCCCUUGAAAGCCUUAGUAUUCGACUCCACCUUUGACCACUACCGAGGUGUCAUAGCUAACAUUGCAAUUUUUGGUGGGGAGAUUCAGAAAGGGCAUAAAAUUGUGUCUGCACAUACAAAUAAAAGAUAUGAAGUUAACGAAGUAGGAAUUCUGACUCCAAAUGAACAGCCAACACACAAACUAUAUGCUGGACAGGUGGGCUACCUGAUUGCUGGAAUGAAAGAAGUAACAGAAGCCCAAAUAGGAGACACGCUGUUUAUGUAUAAACAGCCGGUGGAGCCUUUGCCUGGCUUUAAGUCAGCGAAGCCAAUGGUUUUUGCAGGAAUGUAUCCUGUAGAUCAAACAGAAUAUAAUAAUCUUAAAAGUGCUUUGGAAAGGCUGACAUUGAACGAUUCCAGUGUCACUGUUCAUCGUGACAGUAGCCUUGCUUUAGGAGCUGGGUGGAGGUUGGGUUUUCUUGGUCUUUUGCAUAUGGAAGUUUUUAAUCAACGUUUGGAGCAAGAAUAUAACACAUCUGUUAUUUUGACUGCACCUACUGUUCCAUAUAGAGCUGUUCUUUCCUCAGCAAAAUUGAUAAAGGAGUAUGGUAAUUCAGAGAUUACUAUUAUCAACCCUGCUCAAUUUCCUGAUAAACAUUCAGUGUCUGAAUAUCUGGAGCCAACUGUUCUUGGCACUAUUGUAACACCUCAGGAAUAUAUUGGGAAAAUAAUUGUUUUGUGUCAGAAUCGUAGGGCAGUCCAGAAAGAAAUGUUGUAUAUUGAUGAACAUAGGGUUAUGCUAAAAUACCUUUUUCCAUUGAAUGAAAUCGUGGUGGAUUUUUAUGAUGCCCUUAAGUCUCUGUCUUCUGGCUAUGCAAGUUUUGAUUAUGAAGAUGCAGGCUACCAGGCAGCAGAUCUUAUCAAAAUGGAUAUUCUUAUAAAUGGAAAUCCAAUUGAAGAACUGACAACUAUCAUACACAAUGAUAAAGCAUAUGUUACUGGUAAAUUCCUGUGUGAGCGUUUAAAAGAUGCCAUACCAAGACAGUUGUUUGAAAUAGCCAUCCAGGCUGCUAUUGGCAAGAAAAUAAUUGCAAGAGAAACAUUGAAAGCUUACAGGAAAAAUGUUGUGGCAAAAUGUUACGGUGGAGAUAUUACAAGAAGAAUGAAGCUUUUAAAAAGGCAGGCAGAAGGGAAGAGGCUGAUGAGAAAAAUUGGCAAUGUGGAAGUACCAAGAGAUGCCUUCAUACGUGUUUUAAAGAGACAGCCUGAGAAAUAAGUUAAUGAUAUGCAGCAGAUUGUCUUAACUUCUUAGAGACAACUGGUAACAGUAUCUGGUCAACAUUCUCAAUCUGCAAAGAGCCUAGUUUAGAACCAUACAGAAGAUUUGCUUCAACUACUACAAAUUUCAGAAAUAGGCAACAUUAGAAGCAGAGAUUCUUAAAAGCCAUAAAAGAUGUGAAAGUGGACCAUAUAGCCAUACUAGAAAGCCAAAACAGACUGAAGAAUCCAGCUCAUUUUUGUUUUUGGAGGUAAUGACUUAACUGCAGACCUUUGUAAAUAAAUAAUUAAAAAAAACACAAGAAGAAAAUCUCAUGAAAUCAACAUGACUAAAGCACAAAGGAAAAGUUUCUUAGAUCUUAUAAAGGGUAAUUAUUGAUCACGUAUAUUGGAAAGAUCAAGUCAGUAACGUUUCUCAUGAGUUUGGUGGUAAGCGAGAAGACACCAAAUGUAGAUUUGAUACAAAAGGCAUUUUUAUUUGAAGAGAAACAGCUACACCAUGUCCUGAAGUUUAAGCAUUCAGUUUCCUGUUUUUCUGUUCUGUUUUAAAAAAAGAAAAACAGGAAAUGAAAAGGAGAAUUACCCACUUACUUCCUGGAGGCGUGAAAAUGCUUAUAAAAUAUUCCUACUGCCAUAUGGAAAAAGUUAUAAUUAAAUCCUUUUAGUGGUUUUGGAAGCACAGUUAGAAACAAAGCUUAUUUAAAUGAUGAUAUGUAAAGUCUCUUACUAGAUAGAUGCAAAAGCAAUUAUUUCACAAAAAAAUCUUCCAGCCUAUUCAACUCAAAUCAGGUUAAAUAAGUGUUUUAACAAGAGCAUGCAGAAGUACAAAACUCCCAGUUAACUUUCCUGGAGACUAGUAAAUUCAAAGAUAUUCUGCCUCCUUCUGUGAUAAAGGAAUGAAAGGGAAAGGUGACCUUCCUCCCAUUUUGCAAAAAGAACACUUAAAGGAUCAUUUCUCUUAUUUGUUUCAGAAAGUUAGGGGAAAAAAGGGGGGGGGGGGGAAGUUAUUCUAACUUUCAGAUAGAGUGAUGAUUUGUUAUCAAAAACUGCUUGAAGUUUCAUGUGGUACCUUGAGAUUUUCCUUAAAUGGUAAAAAGCUGUAGUAACUAGCUACUACCAGAAUUAGCAGUCAUCAAGAACCAUCCAGCUUCCUAAGAAGGAAGUAAUCCACCUGGAGAUUAAAAUUCAGAAAUAAUCCCAGGUUUUACUAAUACUGAUUUUUCCAUCUAAAAAAGAAAAACCACCAAGUAAACUUCACUGACUCAUGAAUAGGGAAAAUUACACCAGGCAAAACUAUCUAAGAAUUCUAUUGCUUUGUAUGCAUUAUAGGGUAAUAAAUAGGUAACAAUAGUGCCAACUGUAGCCCUUAGUUUUCUAUGGGGAUAUGUUCUGUAUCAGUGUCAUUCACACCUAAUAAUUUUAUCAUAGUAGUUUGUAUAUUCCCCAAGCAGAGCUUUUGUUUAUUUGGAUACAGGAUAGUGUCUAGAACCCAUCCAAGCAGUUUAAGAGGUUUAUCUUUGACAAUACUAAGUACUAUCUAGCAGUGUGAUGUGUGAAGACUGCUCCCUCUCCCCAGUACGUAUUAAAGAACAUACUGAAAAAUCUAAAGUGAGAAUUAAUUAUAAAUGGUAUCAGUAUGAAGUCACAUUAACACCAGAUUUUACUAUUACCUACAGACAAUUUUUAGAGCAUUAUAUCACUAAUGACAGCCUUGCUACCACAUGCCUUAACUACUACAAAAAUCCACGCAGUAAGAAAGUAAGAAAGGUGGCUAACAUAUACAACCACAUGUGCUGUGCUAAUGCAGCUGGGAGAAAACUAUUUUGCUGAGCUUCUACAGUCUUAGUUAAAUAUAAUUAACAUCCAGGAACACGGAGUUACUAUCAGAAAUCCAGACUCAAAGUUUGCCUCAAUAUCCCUACUACAAAUAUGAAAAGCAUAGUUCGUGCAAUGCAUUGAAGUCUAAACAGAUUGCCAUUGCACUAUAUGAAGAACGUCCUCCAUUCACUUCAGAGUCUGCCUCACAUAGUUGAAGCUUACUGACAGUAUAGUAUAAGAUAAAAAUCAGCAUGAAAUAUACCAGGAUUAAAAUAAAAUUUGUUAUAAUUGAAACCUUCCAGUAUACUUGAAACUCAUUCUGGACCACCAAAUUGUUUAUAUUUUAUAUACAGAUGAAGUUUAUAUACUAUCAUUUCAAAUGGAAAGUAGAGAAAAUACUUUAUUCAAAAGAGAUUUGUCAAGUGUUUAUCAAAUGCCACUGUACUUUCAUAUUUAAGGAACACAAGUUACAUCUCCCAGCACUUUCCCCACUAUAGUGGGAAAGUUAACAUUUCAUAUCUUGAAUAUGUUAUAUAUGUUACCUAUGUGAUGUGCCAGAAGACUUCAUAUAGUUCUGUUAUUUUUAAAUAGAAGUAACUUCUGAUUCAGU